rnacentral:sRNA from 1 species
UCCAUAGUAAAUGUGCGGCUAAAAAA